UACGUAGGGUGCAAGCGUUGUCCGGAAUUAUUGGGCGUAAAGAGCUCGUAGGCGGUCUGUCGCGUCGGCUGUGAAAACCCGAGGCUCAACCUCGGGCCUGCAGUCGAUACGGGCAAACUAGAGUACUGCAGGGGAGACUGGAAUUCCUGGUGUAGCGGUGAAAUGCGCAGAUAUCAGGAGGAACCCCGGUGGCGAAGGCGGGUCUCUGGGCAGUAACUGACGCUGAGGAGCGAAAGCGUGGGGAGCGAACAGG
rnacentral:rRNA from 1 species